UUUGCAUCAUCAGCUGAUGUGAAGUGAGAAGGUUUAUAGUCCUGUGAGUUCAACACUGCAGGACUCACAUCUGUCAGUCAACACAGCAGAAAGCACAACCACCAUGACUCUCAUCUCCAUCCUCAUCUGGACGCUGCUCUGCUGCUGCUUCCAAGGUUCUAGUGGUCAAGUGACUGUGACUCAGCCUGCAGCAAAAACAUCUUCACUUGGAUCCACAGUCACUCUGACCUGUAACAUCAACCCAAAAGUUUAUUCUUGGUCAGAUGGAGCUAGUAGAGUACACUGGUAUCAGCAGAAAUUUGGACAAGCUCCUAAACUGCUGAUUUAUAAUGGUAUACACAAACCAUCCGGUGGUGGAGUUCCUGCUCGAUUCAGUGGACAAGGAAAUGGUGUUGAUGCUUCUUUGACCAUCAGUGGAGUUCAGACUGAAGAUGCAGCAGUUUACUACUGUCAGAGUUACCACGAUGGCCCAGUGUUCACACAGUGA